UUGUUGUGGCUUAAUUGAAUUGCUCUAAGGGACUUGCAUGAGUAAAGGCUUAUUGGCAAGAUACCAGUAAAAUGAUUACUGACGAAGACAAGUUUACGAAGUUGACCAAGUCUAGAGAAAUUAUAAGCUGAGAUAUCUCCGUCCAAAAGGUUGAAUCCUAGAUUCAGUUCCAUAAGGUUUGUGCAAUUCAGCAAAGAUGGUGGCAAAGAACCUUCUAGAUUGUUGGAAUGAAGGAGCAAGACUUUCAAUUUGGAGAGCUUCCCAAUAUCUAUUGGAAGCAUGCCACUGAACUGAUUCAAGUAGAGGUCAAGGACUGUGAGGUUAGUAAGUUUAACAAUUCUGUUACUGAUGCCCCCUCUAAAAGAAUUUGCAGGGAUUGCAAGUUCUUCUAGUGCGGUAGAAUUAUAGAUAUCUUCCGGAAGUGAUCCUGAGAGGGUAUUGUGACCAGCACGAAAAACUUCCAGUUUGGAACAGUUUCCUAGUGUGCGAGAGAGAUUGCCUCCAAAAUUAUUGUAGGAAAAAUCUAAUAGCCUAAUCAAAGAAGAAGAGUGGACACAAAUAGGGGAGGGGAUAUAACCUGUGAAUUGGUUGUUCGUGACAUUGAAAUGAGACAAGUUCUUUGCUUGUUGGAAGAAGGAUGAUGGAAUUGCACCAUGGAACCGAUUGCUAGAAAAAUCCACCAUCCGAAUAUUAUUGGAUGAUGAUAGAGAACCUGGUAGCUCUCCAGAAAGAAAGUUAAAACUCAAAUCAAGUACCUCAAGACGACCCAGGGACAAGAAGAAUCCAGCUUGAUCUAAAGAACCACGAAGUGAAUUGCGAGAGAGAUUGAGGUAGGUUAGAUGUGUGAGAUUACUGAGUGAUGAUGAGGAAAAAAGAUCUCCUUUGAGUUUGAGGCCUUUGGAGGAUAGGUGCAAAUGGGUUACUCGACCAACCGCAUCACAAGUAAUGCCUUCCCAUUUGCAACAAUCCAAGCUAGUCCAAUUUAAGGAAGGAGAAGACAGAGUGAGGGCAAAAGACAAGAGAGAGGUUCUUUCACUUGAGGAGUAUGCAUGAAUAUGUGUAGAUGAAAUGGAGCCAAGUAGAAUAAGAAGCAAGUAUUGAGCUAUUGGGUGAUAAGGUUGCCCUGCUAGCAUCUUUCUUGGUUUGUGGGACAGUUCAGGUUUAGUUUGAGUUGCUCACCUAGCUAGCCUUGUGCUUGUUUAUAUAACCAAGAGCCUUCACUUUUUUCUUAGCUUCAAUUCUUGAAACAGUAGCCUUGCAUCAAAUUUUUCAUUGACGCUGGAGUCACUUAGAUACUGAUAAAGUAGCAUGAGGUUCACAUCCAAAACCAUUUGGCAAUGGGUGGAGUGGCCCAAACUCUUAUAAACCCACAUGCAAUGUCUCAUAUUCCCAAUGUGGGAUCGAUAUCUUAACACGCCCCCGCACGUUCGUGUGACCGUUACUCAUUCACACGUGGACAUGGAUAACCCGUUCUGAUAUCAUGAUAAAGUAUUAUGGGGUUCACAUCUAAAACCGAUUGGCAAUGGGUGGAGUGACCCAAACCUUUAUAAACUCACAGGUAAGGUCUCAUAUUUUCGAUGCAGGAUCGAUAUCUCAACAGAUACUCAUGACAUUUGACGCAUGCAUGUAGACUUCUCGAUUACAUGUGAAAUGGAGUUAUGGAGUGAACAACAAAGAUCAUGUUUGGCUGGGUGAGUAAUGUUUAUCAUGAAGGCAGACAUUGGGAUCCAGACAUUGUCGUUACAUCAAUUAAAUUAAGUCCAUGUUGGCGUGCUGUGUGCUGUUGAUGACUUUCAAAAUGUUGAUUUCUCUGAAAUGUGAGUGGGUUGUGACUUGUUAAGUUUUUGAUUAUUUGUAAACCUAACAUUGUAGAGGUUAUGACUCCGAACAAACUAUUAUAUGAGAAUAUGCGGGGUGGGAAAACAAACAGAAAGAAGGAAGAACUAAUUUCUAGUCUUGUGGUGUUAGUGACGAAGGGGAUGGAAGAACCCCCAUAGGAUGAGGAAGUCAGUGAAAUUAAUGACCUUGUAUUAAAUUUUUCAUUGACGUUGGAGUCACUAAGAUAUUGACGUCCGACGCACCCAUGUAGACUUCUUACUUACAUCUUGUAUGGCUCUGUGACCAUCAAAAAUCUAAGAAGAUAUAACUUUUAAGAAGAUAUACUAGAAAUGCAACUUAGUGACCAAUAAAAAUUUGGGAAGAUAUACUAGAGGAAAUAAAUAAGGAAUAAGUCAAGAAGUCAAUAACAAACUUGGGAAAGGACAGUAUUUCUCGGUUUGAAUAUUAGGCCAAUUACAUAUAAGUCCAUCCAAAUAGGUGAAAAAAUGUUUAAAAAGUGAUUAAGGUGAAAUUUUCUAUUGAAUAUUCUAAGUAGGCAACUUGCAAAGAAGGAGCUACUGUCAUGAAAACCAUAAGAAAGCCAAACCCCCUGAACCGGUCCACAUUACUACAACCAAAAACGCGCUUCUGAGGUCUGGUUUUUGACCAAUCUCACAUUUUCUACAUCACCUUCUUCUUUGUUCCUCUUCCCAUUUUACACUUCUAGUUUCCCUUCCGGAGACGUUUGGCAGACUUGACUAGAUUGGAUUGGCAAAGCCAGAUUGGAUUGGUAAAGGAUUUUGAUUUGCUACUCUUAUCUAGUGUUUGGAGCAACCAGAUAACAAUAUUACUGGAUAAGAAUAUUUAAACAAAAUCAAAUGAAUUAAAAGAAGAUAUCAAUUUAAAUUUCCAAUUAUUAUGAAAAUAAAUUGGAUGAAGUUUACAGAUCUGCAGAUCGAUAAGAUACAUCUUUGAAGAGAAUAGUCCAUAUCAGCUUUCAAUUUCUAGCCAUAGAUUUAGCCGAAAUGAGUCUAAUUUUGCUAUGUGAUUCCCUCUUCGGAUCAGAUCAUCCACAACGUGGUUGAGAAAAAUAAUUUGAUCAUGAAAUUCUUAAGAAAAAUACUAUUUCAUCCUUCCAAAAUCUAAAAUGACUCAAUUAUAUUGUAUUUUUUUUAUAUGAAAACAAUUUUUAUUCUUCAAUCAAGAAUCGAAAAUUUUCAUGUAAUUCAGUCAAUAGAUUUGCAUGACACGUACAUGUACGUGAAUUAGAACUUUGUUGCGUUCCGAAAUUUUUUUAACAAUACAUUCAUAUGAUAUUAUGCUUAUUUGUGUGUGUAUAUGAUGAGCGUUAGUUUCAUAAUACAAAGCUAACUCCCCAUUAACUAAAAUUUUCGGUCAUAUAUCUAGAUCUUCCAAUCUUCAGUUUAUAGUUCCCUAUGUGCGUUACAGAAAAUUUUCAGCCAAUCUAAUGAUGGUUUGGGUAUCGAGCAGUGUCAAAUUAAUGGACGAACCGAUAUUUAACUUAAACCGAUCAUGUUCAUAAUUAAUAAAUCACUAUUUUGAAUACCCAAACGAUUGUCAAAUUGGCUGGAAAUAUUCAGGGAUGAUCCACGCAUAGGGAACUACAUGCUGAACAAUGAAAGAUCCAGACAUAUGACCGAAAAGUUGGGUUAAGGGCGGGUUAGCUUUGAAUUAUGAAACUAACCGGUUAGUUCUAUAACGCAUCAUUCAGUUUGUGUGUGUGUGUAUACAAUCUCUAUCCACAGCGAAACUUCGUUUUGAAAUUAAAAUGUGAAGUGCAAUUUUUGACUCAUUUUUUAGUUAUAUUUUCACAUUUUCACCGUUCAGUUUACAGAAUCUAAUGCAUAGAUUGGUCUUAAGUGCUUAAAACGUCCUGUUUAGUUUGUAAACACACAGUGUUUCGUGCUAUCGGUGUGACCGUGUUAGGUAGCCGUGAGAUGUAGUAACCAGUGUCAGAAUGACACGUGUCUGUCAUGUCCACGACUCAUCUAUAUGAGCUGCUGCUUUCUUCUUUUGAGAUAUGCAUGACCUAUUUUUUUUUGUUAACUUUUUUAUUAAAUAACUUACACACUUUUAUAUCGGUGAUGUUUGAAUUCAUGAUGAAAUCAACGUUGUUGAUUAAGUUACCGAAUCAACCAGGCACGGCUCACGAACUAUGCAUGACCAUUUUACUUUCUUAGAUAUUUUAUUGACACUUUCAUUUUCUUCUAAAACGUUAGGGUUAGAACCCCAACACUCUUUUGGGGAUAAAGUUAACCAAGAGAGAAGUUCCAGAAUGAGAAUCUGCAAUUGUAUUACACUAUUACAAGUUUACAACCACCAUCAGAAUCCAUCACAAUAUCAUGCAUAGAAGCAUGUUCAAGUCCUAUCAUGGUAUACAUCUCCAUUGAAAAAUUUGAAAGUAGAAUAUCGAAUAUGCUUUUUUUUAGGGUGGUGCUAUAUUAACACAUCUUUUUUUUUUUCCUAUUAACACAUCAUAUAUAUAAUGAGAACCAAUUAUCGAUCAAAUUCAAGUGACAAGUUUGUAAAUAAAAUAAAAAUAUGUGGAUAGAAAAAUAGAUGAAGUGUAUUAAUAGCAAUAAUUGGGUGUGGUAAUAACAAUACCCUUAUAAAUAGGCGAUNNNNNNNNNNNNNNNNNNNNAGACUGAGAGAGAGUUAGAGAUAGACGAUGAAAUUUGGAAUACUCGCCUAUUUAUAAAGAGAUUUUUAAGAAGAUGAAUCUUCUUCAUAACUCUGGUAACGGGUACUUGAUUUGCUUCAUUUUUGCUAGUAUAUUACACGAAACGCUGAAAAUUGUUAGAGAUUGCGCGAUUUAUGUUGAGUUUUUUUUUUUUUUUCCUGAUAUCUUCAUUAAAAAAGAUUUUGGGACCCUAAAUUUUAGGUUAAGGCCUAUCGCCCUGCUUGCCCAGAACCAGGGCCGGGCCUGUAUAAGUACUGUUUAAGCAAUAAGAUUGUCAUUUGUUUAUUUAGAUCGUUAGAAAUUUAGUUCAUUUGUAGGCUCCCUUGAAGGAUGAGGUUGUUUUAUGCACACCAAUAAUUCUAUGACUUGUGGAUACUAGGAGUUGACACACAAACUGUAUCCACGGAACACAGAUAUAGGAUACUGAGAUGGAUUGCGAGUCAUUACAGAAAUAUUUUUAACAGUUUUAUUAUAGGAUAGAAUAGUACUUAUGUUGAACUGUCAUGCUGUACAUGUAAGUACGUAGUGUAGUAAAAUAGAGCUGUAUAACAUAAAAGCUCCCUAGCCUCUUGAUAUUUCUCUUAUUCAUAUUCACUAUUUGACUAUAGUUUGACGGUACUAUGGAGCGCUUGGUGUUGGUGUAUUUCCACUCCUUCCCCAGAUCCCUGCAAAGUAAACAAAAUGGAAAAUGUACGUAUAUAUGGUAUUAGUUUAGUGAAUGAAACACUGGCACCACUCUAGUUUAACCCUAAAAAUGAGAAUGGGUUCAACCAACUAGUUACUGAUACACUUUCUGGAAAAGAAAAUGAAAUUGCACUUGUAUAUAUCAACUGAAUUGUUGUGGGUUAGAUAGGAAGAGAGAAAAAACAAAUACCUUCAAUGGGGGUGCCGGAUGGACCUGAAUUAAGGGAGACCAAACCGUUGUGAUUACACUUAGUAAUGCCCAUCCGACGAGGGUGACAAUGAAUAGAAAUCCGAUUUGAGGGAGAAGAUGACAGACCAGUUGAGCUGUGUUGAGGUUGGUUGGAUGCAUACGCAUGAAGAAUGUUAUUAGUAGAUAGAAAGGAACAGAAGAAGAUCAGGAAGAGAAAGAUUCUGCCCUGAGCCAUUGCCAUUUCUCCGGUAAGUUCAGUAUGAUUUCUCACCUAGUAUUGCCGGCUAUAUAUGGUAAAUUAGGAUUAUUUUGAUGCAAAUAAGUCAACAGAAUAGGCUAUCUCUCUGGUCCAAGUUGAUUAAGCCGAUUGAGACACGACCAGAAAGUCUAUAACCCAAUCUGACUGGCAUUACAUCUUUCGUUUUAGUCAAGAUAGAUCAUUAACCUUCGAACCAGUUAAACGAAAAUGAAAUGUUUUGACAAUACAUUGUAGCGGCGUAUUGAAAAAAUCGUAGAGGGUUCAGGGUUUGGAUCCUCUUACGCAUUGUGUACGUAGUCUACAGUAUAAUUCCCAUAUUAUUACUUCUGAUUUGUAUGUAGAAGAAGACUGCAGAAGAAGUUUGAGACAGACAACUUUGCCAACCUUUACAUAUCUAUAUUACCGGCAGCAAACAACUUUAACAACGGGAAAUAUACUGCAUAUGCAUGACCUUUCAGUCUAGCUUCCAUUAAGCCUGUUCUUCAUCCUUUUGAUCCCCACAUGCAGCUUUCAUCACAUAGAGGCUGUCAUAUGCAUUAUUGAGAAAUUGGAAAUAAGCAUAUCUCCAGGUCUUGAUAAAAAUCAAAGAACCACAUACUGACCAAAAUCCUACGAAAAACCCAAGCACAACUGGAAAUAUAAACCAUGGGACCUGAUCCUGUUGUUAUCAUCUCCAUCAAGGUCAUCAUUUGGGAGUGCUGGUUGGCAUUCAUAUGGAAGUGGAAGACAACAGAGGUUGGGAUUCCCCUCAAAUGCAGAUGCACCGAAGCUUUGCAACUGAGUGCCUGUUGGUAUUUGUCCUUCCACAUUAUUGUAUGAGACAUUAAAUACUGCCAAGAAAUUAAGGCUUGUUAAUGAUGCAGGCAUAUUUCCAGAGAAAUGAUUUACGGAGAGAUCCAAUGUUGCCAAGUCUUUGAGGUUGGAUGUUUGGUCUGGAAUCUUGCCUGAGAAGAAAUUGUUUGCAAGGUUCAACACACGGAGAAGCUUCGAUUGGCCAAUCUCAUUCGGUAUAUAUCCAGUCAUGUUAUUGUUCAUUAGUACUAAGGCCACUGGAAAUAACAACAAAGAAUUGUAUUGUUGAGCUCGCUUGCCAUCAGCAGUGAAGUAGAUAGGCAAUUCGAGAUCAUCACUGGACAAGUUGUUGUUUUGAGAUACCAACAUUGGCACUUUGGCAGGCUGCAAAGUUCCUUUGGAAAUUCCCCAGAAAUGAGGUUGGCUCCCAAGUCUAUGUGUAAGAGCCUAGGAAGAGUCCCAAGCUGACUAGGAAUUUGUCCUUUGAAUUUAUUUGUAUUCAGAUUCAAAACCUCUAGUUUCUUGAGCUUAGAUAACCAUACAGGUAUUUGACCGAUGAGCUCGUUCUGACUCAAAUCCAAAAAUCCAAGAUUUUUGAAUCCAUCAAAAUCAGAUAUGCCAAGAUUAGCUGGAACUGCCCCCACUUGGAAACUAGAUGCCAAGGAUAAGAACACUAGACUUUCGCAACGCAUGAGUAUCUUGAUUGCCCCUGUGAGAUUUGUCAAUCUAUUGAAAGAAAGCGAGAGAUAGGACAAGGAUUUCAAUGACUGAAUUCAUUAAAAUGGAGAUCAAGGAUUGCAAGGUUUGUGAGGUUGAAAAUGCCAUCACUAAGGACUCCGUAAAGUGAAUUGCGAGGUAAUGAUAUUUCUACAAGAGUGAUUACAUUAUACAUAUCUUCCGGAAUCCUACCGUCCGUCUUGACCUUUAGUUGUUUUGGACUUUGGUUACUCUUCUACCAUGUUUAUGGUUUGUUAAUGCUUUUUGCAUUUUUUAUUAUUUUUAAGGGGCGUUGGUCUCAAGUCCUCCCCUUUUUGUUGUUUUACCUCUCUUUAAUUAAAUAAAAUUUCUUGUUUUGCCCAAAAAAAAUAAAUACAUAUCUUCUGGAAGUAUUCCCAAAAGGUUGUUAUACCCAGCACGAAACACCUUGAGCUUGGAACACUCCCCUAGUCCAGGAGAUAUACUGCCGUUGAAGUUAUUGGAAGAAAAAUCUGACAUUCUGAUCAAUGGAGAAGAAGUGAAACAAAUGGGAGAUGGUAUGGAUCCUUUGAACUUAUUAUUGCUGACAUUGAAACUUGUCAGAAGAAUGAAGAUGGAAUGUCAGCAUUGAAAGAAUUAAUUGCUGAACAAAUAAUCCAGCAUCCGGAUACUCCCGGAUAGUGGAGAAAUUGGUAGUUCUCCAGAGAGAAUGUUAUAGCUCAAAUCAAGAUCAGAUGGCGGUUGGUGGUUGAGGACUUGAGAUCGUCGAUCAUCUUAGUGUGACAGUGGUCAGAUACAAGGCUAAUGAACAGUCGUGGAAGGAUGCACGGCUAGCUUGAACAAUAUUUCUGUCUCACUGAUCUUUCAACUCAAACUAAAAAUUGAAGGAGAGCCUUCCUUUUUUGAUGUGUAGAAAACAAGGAAGGAGCUAAGCAUUACUGUGUUGGUAUUGAUAUGGAUGCUUUUGGUUUCAUUAUUGCCUUAUUGGUGGCUUUGGAGAAGGAACUGACAUAGACAUGGUGAUGAAAAGACCUUGAAUCAUGAAGAGUUCAACGAAAAGAAAUGUUUGCUUUCUCCACUAGCAGUAGCAGUAGAAUUUCAUCAGCAGAAUAGAAAGGGCGGCGGAAGGAGGUGGUGACGACGGCAGGAGAUGGAGGGGGAGAAGAGCGAGCUCAGAGAAGGUAGUCUCAGAGAUACAGCCAUUUUUGGUGGGCCACACAGCCCGUUAAGGACCGCACCACUUGGACCGUCUAGCCCCACGUCACAUCUGCCUAGCCCGCAGGAAUUAUAAUCAGGCCCAACUUGUUUUAGACCCAACCCCCUCUUUUGUCUUUUUAAAUGGUGGACCCCUAAAGCCCGUUAAGGCCCGCUCAGGGCUGACCGCCUAGCCAUAGCACUUUUUUCUAGCCCGCAUGAAAUUAUUUUUCUUUUAUAUUUUCUUUUUACCUCUUAAAUUCUGGAAUUGGAAUUCCGCAGAGACGAAACAGAUGCAAAACAGAAUGAAACCGAAAGACAACGAUAAGAAGAAGAAUAAGAAGAAGAGAGAUCAUGAGAUUGAUGAUGAUUCUGAUUCUGUUUCUGGUGGUGAUGCGCAAGCGGUUGUGCAAGACUUGCUGAAGGAGUUUCCGAAUAUCGGGUGCGAUUUGAAGCAGCUUUUGCAAUUGAUCGAUGGCGGCAAAGCGGUCGACAUAAACGGAAUAGGUCAGAAGUGUCUGAUCAAGCCUCUCAGAGCUCUGUUCCUUUGCUUGGUUCUUAAGGAACUAGAUCACGGAUCUUUUGUUGCCUCCACAUGUUCCUCCAACUUUGGAGGUUAUUGGGUCCUUGAUCACGCCUUGUUUAGAUUUAGAUGAUGAAGAUGAUGAUCAUGGUCCUCCUCCUCCUUAUAGAAGGCCAAUUGGUCCGGAGAUGCCGACGCCAGAGCUACUUGCUGCUGCAGCCAAAUUGAGAGAGGCAGAGGCCGAGUUGAGGGAAGCUGAGUUGGAAGAAAAAGAUGAUGGUGUUUUAAUAGGGCCUGCACCGCAUGUUGCGGCUGCUGAAGUUGAAUCAGCUAACCAGGGUGAUCGUUUCGAAGAGGUGACAAGGAUCAUGGAAGCAGAGGAUGAUAGCAUGUAUGAUAUAUUGGGAGCAAACCACAAUGUGUCUGCUGAUAACAUCAAGAAAAGGUACCGGAAGUUGUCGCUUUUGGUGCACCCUGAUAAAUGCUCUCACCCUCAAGCUAGCCAAGCAUUUGUAAAGCUGAACAAGGCGUUUAAGGAGUUACAGGAUCCGCAGAAGCGGAGAGCGCUGGAUGAGAAGAUUGAGGUUAAGGAGAAGCAGGAAAGAUUCAAUGUGGAGUUGACGGCAAUGCGGGAAGCUGCAAUGUGAGCAAUGUGGAGAAAGAUGCAGGGGAUUUACAAGGAGGGUGAUGAGAAGCUACUGGCAGGUGAUGUGAGUGUUGUUAAAUCGGCACGAAAGAGAGAUGAGUGGAUGACAGAGCUUCCACCGGAGAGGAAACAUGGUACGAGUACAAUGCAAUCGACAAUAUUUAGCAGGAGUGCUAAACAAGGGCGUGGGGACACUAGCAGUUGGACUGAUGCUCCUGAGAGAGCUCGAAAAGCUAAGAUGGAUUACUUACAAGCGUGUAAUGAGUUUGCAUCACUUGCUUCGAAUGAGGAGGAGAGGAAGAGGAGUUUAGAUGCAGAGUUAAUGGACAGAUACAAUAAAGAGAAACGAUCGAAGUCAUUGUUACAAAAGCACAAAGAGGAGAUUAGAGCGAGCCGUUUGAAGAGAAAGUACUCCAAGCAACAGGUAGAGGUCCAGUAUUGUGAGGUUAGUCAGGUUGAUAAUUUUAUCAUUAAUGGCUCCAGAUAACGAAUUUCGAGCUAAUGAAAUUUCUUCAAGUGCAGAAGCAUUGUAGAUAUCGUCUGGAAGUAAUCCUGACUCCUGAGAGGUAAUUAUAACCGGCACGAAAGACCUGCAGUUCGGAACAUUUCCCGACUCCACGAGGAAUACCACCAUUGAAAUUAUUGAAGGAAAAAUCAAGGUGUCGUAACGAGGAACAAGGAAGACAAAUAGAGGAUGGGAUAGGACCUGAAAAGGUGUUACUGACAUUGAAACUAGUCAAGUUCCAAGCUUGUUGGAAAAAAGAAGAUGGAAUCAGACCAUGUAAGCGAUUAAUGGAAAAAUCCACCAUCUGAAUAUGACUGGAUGGUAGAGAAGAUGGUAACACUCCAAAGAGAAGGUUAUAGCUCAAAUCCAGGAUUUCGAGAUCAUUCAAGGACAAGAAGAGCUCAGUUUGAUCUAGAGAACCAAAAAGGGAAUUGUGUGAGAGAUUCAAGUAAGUGAGAUGUGUGAGAUUUGCAAGUGAUGAUGAGGGAAAAAUACCUUCCUUUAGUGUGAGCCCUUUGGAGGGUAAUCGCAAGUGGGUUACCCAAUCAUAUCGAUUACAAGUAAUCCCUUCCCAAUAGCAGCAAUUACUAGAAGUCCAGAAUAAGGAAGGGGAAGAUAGAGUGAGGGCAAAGGACAAGAGAGAGGUACGUUCAGUUUGGAUGCAUGCAUCAAUAUUAUGAGUAGAUAAAAUGAGAGAAAACAAGAUUAGCUUGAGAAUAAAGCCUUGUGUCACUGGGUACUCUUGUUGUACUGUUAUGUUUUUUCGAGGCUGAGCCAUGAUCAUGUGGUUGUGGACUUGUGAUAGAUUUUGAUCGUCAGUUUUUGCAUAUAUACAGAUUGAAGCAGAUUUGAAAUUCCAAGACGACCCAGAUUAUAUAUGAUACAUCUUGUCAAUGAAAUUAUACAAUUGGAAGAAAAUAAAACACGGCUGCAUAUAUUAAGGUGGAAAAUAGAAGCAAUGGCAUAUGGACAGAAGAAGGAAAAGCGCGGCUGGCGCCUGCUCCAGGUAACAAUUGAGGAGUAUGGUUUUCAUAUAUAAUAGCUAGCAGUUAGCAGAAGAACAAAUUUAGUAGAAACUAUGCUCUACUUCCAGAAGAUACUAACAUAAAGUCUUAAUUUACAACACCGAGAUCUUUAAAUUGGCAGCUAAGUAUAUAUUAUAGCAUAAAACACCAAAAACAGAGUUGCGGAGAGCUUCAGUAUUUCCAAUGUCUAGCUAGAUGUGUUGACCAUACAAAAUAUUGGAUAGCCUGAAGCUUGCAAAGUUAGUCUUCUUAGGAUGACAAGUAAUCAGAAUGUACUAAGCCUUCUAGAUAGUGUCCUUUAGUCUUUUCUUUUCCUUUUCUUUUUCUUUAAUUUUUCUGCCAUUAUCUCUUCAAAAGAAUGAACUAAGCUUUCUUAAUUUAGUUGGACCACUGUAAGAGAUAGGAUGAGUAUAUAUAUAAUUAUUUACACAUGUAGUUAUUUGUAAAAUUCCUGGCAGCUGCUUAAUUAAUUAAAUAGAUUAUUAAGAUGUCAAUCAUAGAAGAAGAAGAGUAAGAUGCUGUCUACCCAAUAGAAAAAAGAAAAAAAAGAAGAAGAAGAAGAGUGGAAACAAAAAUUUGACUUGAAUAGAAGUACAAGUAUCUAAGAACAGUAUCAUGAAAACAAAGAGUACUGUGUCUUGCAUAAUAAGUAAAACUAAAAUACACUGAAAUUAAGAAUAAGUUCAAACUUCUAGCCUCAGAAGAAUUCUUUCCAACCCGCCCUUGUUAUGCAGACUGUCCAAUCUCAUUCAUAAUUUGAGCCUCUCUUGUACAGUAUACAGGAAAUUGAAAUAUGCAUCCCUCCAGGUCUUGAUAAGCAAUAAUGAACCACAAACUCCCACUAACCCUAUAAUGAAGCCAAGCACAACGGAAAUAGACAAGCCUAGAAUUUGAUUCCCGUCAUUCGUAUCAUCAUCUGAAUCAGUACCAUUGAAUGGUUGGCACGGAUUUAAAAGCGGGGAACCACAAAGCUUUGGAUUCCCCUCAAAUGCUGAGACAUUCAAGCCUUGGAGCUGAGUGCUUUUUGGUAUUUCCCCUUCCAAAUUAUUAUACGAGACAUUUAAAGAUGACAAGAAACUAAGAUGCGCCAAUGAAGCUGGGAUUUCUCCUGACAAAUGAUUCAUUGAAAGAUCCAAAAUCUCCAAGUUUUUGAGAUUAGAUAUUUGGUCUGGAAUGUUGCCUGACACCAGGUUGGCGCUGAGAUCAAAUAUAUGGAGAAGUUGCAGCUUUCCGAUUUCAGUAGGUAUAUUGCCACUGAUGCUAUUGUUGCCUAACAAUAUAGAUGGUGGAUAGUAAGACAAGGAAUUGAACUGUAACAUGCUUGCAUCAGGCAUGGCUUGGGAGACGUGGAGAGGCAAUUCAAGAUAACCAUGAUCUACUUGAGCUGCAGUUUGUUCAGAUACCAACAUUGGUAGUGAGCAAAGUUCUUUUGGAAUUUCACCUGUGAUUAGGUUGGACGCCAAGUUUAUAGAACAGAGCAUUGGAGAAGUCCCCAACCAAGUAGGAAUUGAACCUGUGAUUCUAUUACGUGACAUAUCCAAGAUCUCUAGCUUCUUGAGCUUAGACAACCACAUAGGUAUCUGACCGGUUAGCUCACAACCAUUCAAAGCCAAAAUCCUAAGAUUUUGGAACCCAUCAAGGUCAGCGAUGUGAUCACCAUCUGGCAUUUCUUCACCUAUGAAGUUGUAUGAAAGAAUGAGUACUGUGAGAUUUCUGCCCUUCAAUAUAUCCAUAGCACCUGUGAGAUUGAUCAGUCUGUUCCCAGAAAGUGAUAGGAAGGAUAGGUGUUUUAAUGAGGCAAUCUCGGGUUGUAUUUGUCCCUGUAGAUUGUUGAAGCUUAAUCGAAUUGCUCUAAGGGACUUGCAUGAGUAAAGGCUUAUUGGCAAGAUACCAGUAAAAUGAUUACUCAUGAAGUCAAGUUUACGAAGUUGACCAAGUCUAGAGAAAUUAUAAGUUGAGAUAUCUCCGUCCAAAAGGUUGAAUCCUAGAUUCAGUUCCAUAAGGUUUGUGCAAUUCAGCAAAGAUGGUGGCAAAGAACCUUCUAGAUUGUUGGAAUGAAGGAGCAAGACUUUCAAUUUGGAGAGCUUCCCAAUAUCUAUUGGAAGCAUGCCACUGAACUGAUUCAAGUAGAGGUCAAGUACUGUGAGGUUAGUAAGUUUAACAAUUCUGUUACUGAUGCCCCCUCUAAAAGAAUUUGCAGGGAUUGCAAGUUCUUCUAGUGCGGUAGAAUCAUAGAUAUCUUCCGGAAGUGAUCCUGAGAGGUUAUUGUGACCAGCACGAAAAACUUCCAGUUUGGAACAGUUUCCUAGUGUGCGAGAGAGAUUGCCUCCAAAAUUAUUGUAGGAAAAAUCUAAUAGCCUAAUCAAAGAAGAGUGGACACAAAUAGGGGACGGGAUAUAACCUGUGAAUUGGUUGUUCGUGACAUUGAUAUGAGACAGAUUCUUUGCUUGUUGGAAGAAGGAUGAUGGAAUUGCACCAUGGAAUCGAUUGCUAGACAAAUCCACCAUCCGAAUAUUAUUGGAUGAUGAUAGAGAACCUGGUAGCUCUCCAGAAAGAAAGUUAAAACUCAAAUCAAGUAUCUCAAGAAGACCCAGGGACAAGAAGAAUCCAGCUUGAUCUAAAGAACCAUGAAGUGAAUUGCGAGAGAGAUUGAGGUAGGUUAGAUGUGUGAGAUUACUGAGUGAUGAUGAGGAAAAAAGACCUCCUUUGAGUUUGAGGCCUUUGGAGGAUAGGUGCAAAUGGGUUACUCGACCAACCGCAUCGCAAGUAAUGCCUUCCCAUUUGCAACAAUCCAAGCUGGUCCAAUUUAAGGAAGGAUAAGACAGAGUGAGGGCAAAAGACAAGAGAGAGGUACUUUCACUUGAGGAGCAUGCAUGAAUAUGUGUAGAUGAAAUGGAGCCAAGUAGAAUAAGAAGCAAGUAUUGAGCUAUUGGGUGAUAAGGUUGCACAGCUAGCAUCUUUCUUGGUUUGUGGGACAGUUCAGGUUUAGUUUGAGUUGGUCACCUAGCUAGCCUUGUGCUUGUUUAUAUAAGCAAGAGCCUUUACUUUUUUCUUAGUUUCAAGAAGGUUCAAUUCUUGAAACAGUAGUAGUUCACAGGAAAAACUAUCACGUACUUGAUUGCAAAGUACGAAGAUUUAGCAGGGAACUCCCAGAACCACAAAUCACCAAACAUCGUACGUCUGACGUUUGAACUCUAACGAAGGGGCAGGACCUCUACCGGAGAUUAUGAGUCUGAUAACCUUGCAUCAAAUUUUUCAUUGACGCUGGAGUCACUUAGAUACUCAUGACAUUUGACGCAUGCAUGUAGACUUCUCGAUUACAUGUGAAAUGGAGUUAUGGAGUGAAGGACUAAGAUCAUGUUUGGCUCGGUGAGUAAUGUUUAUCAUCAAGGCAGACAUCGGGAUCCAGACAUUGUCGUUACAUCAGUUAAAUUAAGUCCAUGUUGGCUUGCUGUGCUGUUGAUGACUUUCAAAAUGUCGAUUUCUCUGAAAUGUGAGUGAGUUGUGACUUGUUAAGUUUUUGAUUAUUUGUGAACCUAACAUUGUAGAGGUUAUGACCCCGAACAAACUAUUAUAUGAGAAUAUGCGGGGUGGGAAAACAAACAGAAAGAAGGAAGAACUAAUUUCUAGUCUUGUGGUGUAACUGACGAAGGCGAUGGAAGAACCUCCAUAGGAGGAGGAAGUCAGUGAAAUGACCUUGUAUUAAAUUUUUCAUUGACGCCGGAAUGUCACUAAGACACUGACGUUCGAAACACCCAUGUAGACUUCUCACUAACAUCUUGUAUGGCUCUGUGAGUAAUGUUCAUCAUCAAGGCAGCUAUUGUCAUCUCAGUGGUUAUAAGUCCAUGAUGAUGAUUUGUUGAAACGUUUCUAAGUUGUUGUCUUGUUGAUUAUUUGUAAACCUGACAUUGUAGAGUUAUAGGUCUGAACAUAUGAAUAUAUGAGAAGGAAAAUGAUUGUUUGCCUCGAUAAAUUUUAGGGUCAAUUACAUAUAAGUCCACUUUGAGACAUUUUUUUCCCAUAUUAGUCUACCAUAACAUUUUUACCCACAUAAGUCCACCCAAGCCUAAAUAAGGUUUUGUUUUAGGUAUUAAAGUUAAACAUAAUUACAGACUGCCAUUCAACAAAAAAAAGAUUAUCUCUCUUAUAUUUACAAAAAUAUCACUAACGUAAAAAAUCAACACCUACUAUCAUCUCCGGCCAACCUCAGGCGAGAUCUCCGGCCGAUCUCCGACAAAGUUUCCCACCGACCUCCAACAAUGUUACCGACGAUUGCAAAAGAUACUGUCACCAGCAACAAAAGCUACUACCACAGGCUAUAAAACCUACUACCACCAGCUAUAAAAUCUACUAUGGACCUAUGGUGAGAUUUUCAGCAACCUCCGACAAGGUCACAAAAGAUACUAUCGCCAGCAACAAAAAAUACUACCGAACAUAACAAAAGCUACUACCACCAGCUACAAAAGCUACUAUGCUGAGAUUCCAACGAUCUCCAGCGAAGUCACAAAAGAUAUUAUCACCAGCUAUAAAAGAUACUACCGAGCAUAUGAAAAGCUACUGUCACCAACAAAAAAAGCUACUAUCACCAGCUAUAAAAGAUACUACCGAGCAUAUGAAAAGCUAUUGUCAUCAACAAAAAAAGCUACUAUCACCAGCUAUAAAAGAUAAUACCGAGCAUAUGAAAAGCUACUGUCACCAACAAAAAAAUUUACUAUCACCAGCUAUAAAAGAUACUAUUGAGCAUAUGAAAAACUACUACAAGGUAGAACAAAACUACUGUCACCAACAAAAAAGCUACUGUCACCAACUAUAAAAGAUACUACCGAGCAUAUGAAAACUANNNNNNNNNNNNNNNNNNNNNNNNNNNNNNNNNNNNNNNNNNNNNNNNNNNNNNNNNNNNNNNNNNNNNNNNNNNNNNNNNNNNNNNNNNNNNNNNNNNNNNNNNNNNNNNNNNNNNNNNNNNNNNNNNNNNNNNNNNNNNNNNNNNNNNNNNNNNNNNNNNNNNNNNNNNNNNNNNNNNNNNNNNNNNNNNNNNNNNNNNNNNNNNNNNNNNNNNNNNNNNNNNNNNNNNNNNNNNNNNNNNNNNNNNNNNNNNNNNNNNNNNNNNNNNNNNNNNNNNNNNNNNNNNNNNNNNNNNNNNNNNNNNNNNNNNNNNNNNNNNNNNNNNNNNNNNNNNNNNNNNNNNNNNNNNNNNNNNNNNNNNNNNNNNNNNNNNNNNNNNNNNNNNNNNNNNNNNNNNNNNNNNNNNNNNNNNNNNNNNNNNNNNNNNNNNNNNNNNNNNNNNNNNNNNNNNNNNNNNNNNNNNNNNNNNNNNNNNNNNNNNNNNNNNNNNNNNNNNNNNNNNNNNNNNNNNNNNNNNNCGCAUUGUUCAAAAUAUACUAUCAUACAAUGAGGCCGAAACAUACUAAUGAAUCUUGUUUCAUUCAUCUCCUGCAUUAUCAUAACAUGAUUUUGUGCAUGAUUUCUCACACUCACUAUCAAAUUAACAGAAAACAUCAUCCUAAUACAUGUUUACAUUUUCUCAAAACCAAAGAAAGAAAUUGUAGCAAAUUUACACUAAGAAUUUUACCAGAACAGUCACCUCCAAUCGGAGGUCUAGAUCUUUAGGUCGUCAACCAGAUCUACUACUUCUCGUCGCCGAUCUUCAUUGAUCGGAGCCAUCUGAGGCGACAUCUUUGAAGUCGGCGGAAGGCGAUCACAGCCGUCAAGGACCAAACGAGCCGGCGAGCCAUCAGGUUUCAGAGAUCCCGUCGAGGUCAAAUAAGAAGUUGUUAUCGAUGGAACUGGACGCAAGAGAUGAUCUGACGACUUCGAGGUCAAGGCGCGUUGUCGUCGAUCCGGCAGCUUCGUGGUCGAGGCGCCGUCGUCGAGUCGGCGGAGUUGAGGUCGAGGUGAAGGCUUCAUCGUCGUUCUGGUGACGUCGAGGUCGAGCCAACGUCGUCAUCUAUCAAGUGGCGCCGAGCCAUCGUCGUUGAGUGGGUGUUGGCCUGAGACGCCGCCAUGGCCGGAGAUUCGAGAUCAGAGAAGAGAGGGAGGAGGAAGACGAUGAGAGAGAGAGAGAGAGAGAGAGAGAGAGAGAGAGAGAGAGAGAGAGAGAGAGAGAGAGANAGNNNNNNNNNNNNNNNNNNNNACAACAAUGAUCGAUCAAUCCUUUUUGUCAUGCCUUUGUCACCUACGUAUAUAAUUUCAUCAUGAAAUUCUUAAGAAAAAUACUAUUUCAUCCUUCCAAAAUCUAAAACGACUCAAUUAUAUUGUUUUUUUUUCUUUAGACAUAAAUGAAAACAACAAUUUUUAUUCUUCAAUCAAGAAUCGAAAAAUUUCAUGUAAUUCAGUCAAUAUAUUUGCACAAACAUCAGAGCAAUUGAAUUGCAUGGCACAUGUACCUGAAUUAGAACUUUUUUGCGUUCCGAAAUUUUUUGAAAAUAUAAUGUUAACAAUACAUUCAUAUGAUUAUGCUUAUUUGUGUGUGUAUAUGAUGAGCUAGCGUUAGUUUCAUAAUACAAAGCUAACUCCCCAUUAACUAAACUUUUCGGUCAUAUGUCUGGAUCUUUCACUCUUCAGUUUAUAGUUCCCUAUGUGCAUUCAGAAAAUUUUCAGCCAAUAUCUAAUGAUGGUUUGGGUAUCGAGCAGUGUCAAAUUAAUGGACGAACCGAUAUUCAACUUAUACUGAUCAUGUUCAUAAUUAAUAAAUCACUAUUUUGAAUACCCAAACGAUUGUCAAAUUGGCUAGAAAUAUUCAAGGAUGAUCCACGCAUAGGGAACUACAAGCUGGACAAUGAAAGAUCCAGACAUAUGACCAAAAAGUUGGGUUAAGGGCGGGUUAGCUUUGUAUUAUGAAACUAACCGGUUAGUUGUAUAACGCAUUAUUAAGUUUGUGUGUGUAUACAGUCUCUAUCCACAGCGAAGCUUCGUUUUGAAAUUAUAGUAUGAAGUUUCUUUUUUGACUCACUUUUUAGUCAUAUUGUCACAUCUCCACCGUUCAGUUUGUAGAAGCUAAUGCAUAAAUUGGUCUUAAUGGCUUAAAACGUCCCGUUUAAUUUAGUUUGUAAAUAUGCAGUGCGUCCCGUUUAGUUUGUAAAUACACAGUGUUUUGUGUUGUUGGUGUGACCGUGUUAGGUAGCUGUGAGCUGUAGUAACCAGUGUCGGAAUGACACGUGUCUGUCAUGCCACAACUCAUCUAUAUGAGCUGCUACUUUCUUCCUUUGAGAUAUGCAUGACUAUGUUCUUUUUGUUAACUUUUUUAUUAAAUAACUUACACACCCUUAUAUAGGUGAUGUUUGAACUUAUGAAAUCAACGUUGUUGAUUAAGUUACCUAAUCAACCAGGCACGGCUCACGGACUAUGCAUGACCAUUUUACUUUCUUAGAUAUUUUCUUGACACUUUCAUUUUCUUCUAAGACGUUAGGGUUAGAACCCCAACACUCUUUUGGGGAUAAAGUUAACCAAGCACUACAAGAAUUCAGGGCUUUUACCGCCUAAAAUUUAUGGCGUGCAUCGAUGCGUGCCGUAAAAAUGGGUCAUUUACGGCGUGCAUUUAUAGCAUGCCGUAAAUAUAAUGUUAUGUAGAGUUAUUUACGGCGUGCUUCGUAAGUGCGCCGUAAAUGAGAUUGUGUCUCGAGUUAUUUACGGCUUGCAAUAAAAGCACGCCGUAAAUGAAGAGGUAUUUACAACAUUCCUUUAUUGCGCACCAUUAAUAAGUAUAUGGUAUUUACUGCGUGCAAUAGUUGCACGCCGUAUUAGGGUUUUAACCAUAGACUCAUGUAUAAAAGAGAAGAGACAGGUUGACUUUGGUCAAAACCGAAACUGGUGUUGACCCGAGCCUAGAACUUUCUCUCUCUCUCCCUCUCCGCCUGCCUCCGCCAUCUCCGGCGUGGCGUAGCCGAUUCCGGCCGCCGCAUGCCGCAAGUUCACCACCAAAAUGUUCGUCUUCCUCUUCUCCACCUUCCUUUACCCACCAAUUCGACUUAGGACCAUAGACUUUUCAAAUUGAAGUCCAAACCUUAACCCCCAAAUCCGAUUUCUGGCCGAAUCUCUUUCUCUCCAAUGAGCCCGUGCUUCGUGAAGGUAAACUCAUCACUUCCCUCUUGUUUUCACUCUUCAUUGAGCUUCAAUUUCCAUAUUAGAGCCCUAAUCCUAUUUCUCUAUUUUGCUACAUAUUUAUGGGUUCCCGUCGAAGUUUUCCGGCGACAGUGUUCUUGAGCUUUCAACGACCUCGUCAAGUUCAGGUGGAGUCCAAAAGCGUUUCAGUCCCUUGUUCUUGGUAACUGGAUUCUAUUUCUUAAAUCAAGUGCUCUUUAAUUUGUUGCUUUCUGCAAUUUCCAUUUCCAAUCUUCACUAUACUCACUUUGAUUUAAUUAGGAUAGUUUCACUACUCUUUUAAAUGAAAUAGAGAAUUUAUAACCUGCUGGAAAUCAAAUGGUUUGUUCGAAAAGAAUCAUAUGAUAUUUACAUUAUAGUUUUUCUUUACUAAUAUACAUACAUACUCGAUCUAUCAUACUCAUUGAUCGGUAUUUUCACUUUUUAGAGGAUAUUGAGAAUUUAUAACCUGUUUGAAAUCAAUGAUAUAGGUAUUAUAUUUUCCCUUUAUCUAGCUUAAUCAGUUUUUCUAGCUUAAUCAGUUUUUAAUUACCUGGGAUAUAUAUAUAUAUAUAUAUAUAUAUAUGAUCGAGUAUCAGUUUCUUCUUUAGAUCGAUCCCAGAAAAUAGAAAAAACGAAGAGUGCAUGAAAUUAUAUAAAAUACUUAGAAUUAAGGAUGAUCUGGAUCUCCUCAGUUAAAUUGAUUUCAUCUACUAAAAGAGGUUUUUUUGUUAGUUUUCGUUAUGUUAGCUAGCUCCUUGGUCUUCUUAAAAUACUUUUGUGCUUCACAGAGAUAAGAGAACACUGGAUCUUAGGUUGUUAUCAUAGUCCAGCUUGUCACUCCAGGUUGAUCAAUGUGUACGGAUCGCUCAAUUGGUUGUCAAGAUUAAAUAAGAACGCAAGAAGAUAAUUAGUCCUAUUGAUUUCUAUCAUAAACAGCUUUUACCUGGAAGAUAAUAUAGUCAAUUGGGUGCAAUGAUAAAAGUAACUCACUCAAUCUAUCGUACUAAGAAGAGUAAUAAUAUACAGAAAAUCUUCAUCAUCCUCAUCAUAUUAUAGUCAGUUGGGUUAGAUUUUAUAAUUCGGAUUGCAACAAGGAACAAUCCAGUGGGGCAUGAGCGUGAAAAAGUUUCCUUACCAAGAUAACCUGAUGGUGAAUAUAUCAAGGUUACAAGCGCAAAGGCUUUGUGAAUUCGUUUUAGUGAUCGAAAUACGAUAUAUACAUGGCUGAAUACACCAAAGUAAUUACAAGGGUUAUAUCUGUAUGUAUAAUGGUGAAAUUUGAGUGCUGCUAUAUGUAAUUAUAAAAUCCUUACCCCUUGAAAUUUGGCUUUAUGGAAUCUAAUCUGGAUUUUCUGAAGUAUAUUUCCAAUGGGUCCUAUAUUUCCAAGUUCAUGAAAUUCUAUUGUAGCUCAUUCUGUUUCUUUGUGUUUUGAUUCGGUUGCUUGUGCUUUCUGAUUGUGUAUUACCAAUUUGUGUUCCCAAGUUCAAGUUGGUGCCUUAUUGAGCAAUUAGUAUUCGUGCUUCCUGUAAUUGUUUGUGUUCAUUUUAGUUUGAUAUUUGCUUUGCUGAAUGAUCUGAAUUUUGCUAGUUUGGGUGUUGUAGGUGAUUCAUGUCCAUCUCGUGGUUGAUGACUAUGUACUUGAAGGUCUUAUGAUUACCGCAAAGCAGGUAUUACUUUUUCCAUAAACAUAAAAAUGAGUUUUGAUUCUAGGGUGAUAGAAAAAAUUUGAUCUUUCAUCCGUGGCAAGCUGUUCAAUGAUAUUUGGUUUCUUUCAGCUUGUUAUGCCUUCCAAUCAGAUGAUAAGUCAUAAUUGUUAACCAUGUCAAUAUGGCCAAAGGGUAAGUAGAAGUUCAUAGAUGCACAAUUACAACUUUGUUUAGCUGAAUUUGAUGCAGUUGUUUAGCUGAAUUUGAUAAUAUCGUCGUUUUAGGUUGCGGCUACAAAAAACAAGUGGGAGCAAUGAUAUCGAUCGACCACAGGCUCUUCAAGGGAGACCUCUUUGGAGAAGCAUAUUGAAAGGAACCUAAAUUCAGUGUCUGUUGUAGCAUAUAUAUAGGUAAUUAACUUUAAUGUACUUUAAGUCAUGUUUGGUCAUUUGCUUACUAGCUUGAUGUAAUGAGUUAUAUUAAUACAUUCUAAAUUGUUACUUUGUAAAUGACAUUAGUUAUAUUGAUGGUAAUUUGAGUAUGACAUUUGAGUAAGAAGAUUUUUUUUUUUAUUUGAACAUACCUUAUUUACGGCAUGUAGUGUGCGCCUUAAAAGAUGAUGAUAAAUGACCUAAAUGACAUUUAUGGAAUUACUUUUACGGAUUGUUAAUUAUUUUUUUAUGACGUAUUUUUGCACGCCAUAAAAGAUAUUAGUCUUUUAUGGCCCGAGCUUUUACUGCCUACUUUUGUACGCCGUAAAAAGGCUUUUACGGCGUGCAUUGCGGGUCGUAAAAGAUCAUUUUUGGCGUAGUGAAGAGAGAAGUUCCAGAAUGGGAAUCUGCAAUUGUAUUACAAGUUUACAACCACCAUCACAAUCCAUCACAAUAUCAUGCAUAGAAGUAUGUUCAAGUCCUAUCAGGUAUACAUCUCCAUUGAAAAAUUUGAAAGUAGAAUAUCGAAUAUGCUUUUUUUUACAUAAAAUUAUAAUAAAAGUAAAAGUAGACAUACCAAUUGGUUUAUCCCCAACAAUCUAAAAUCCAAUUUGGAUGACGAGAACUGAACCUCGUAAUUUGUGAACAAGCAAAAUAGCGAGACUGAGGGGUUGAGAGAUGGAGACAAAGAGAGAUUUAGAGAUAGAUGAUGAAAAUUUUGGAAUGCUCGCCUAUUUAUAGAGAGAUUUUGAAGAAGAUGAAUAAUCUUCUUCAUAACUUGGUAACGGGUACUCGAUUUGCUUCAUUUUUGCUAGUAUAUUACACGAAAUGCUGAAAAUUGUUGGAGAUUGCGCGAUUUAUGUUUAGUUUUUUUUUUUCGAUAUCUUCAUUAAAAAAGAUUUUGGGACCCUAAAUUUUAGGUUAAGGCUUAUCACCUUGCUUGCCCUGAACAAGUGCUGGGCCUGUAUAAGUACUGUUUAAGCAUUCAGAUUGUCGUUUGUUUAUUUAGAUCGUUAGAGAUUUAGUUCAUUUGUAGGCUCCCUUUAAGGAUGAGGUUGUUUUAUGCACACCAAUAGGAGUUGACACACAAACUGUAUCCAGGAACACAGAUAUAUAGGAUACUAAGAUGGAUUGCGAGUCCUUAUAGAAAUAUUUUAAACAGUUUUAUUAUAGGAUAGAAUAGAAAUUAUGUUGAACAAUCAUGCAGUACAUGUAAGUACGUAGUGUAGUAAAAUAGGGCUGUAUAACGUAAAAGCUCCCUCUUGAUAUUUCUCUUAUUCAUAUUCACUAUUUGACUAAAGUUUGACGGUACUAUGGAGCGCUUGGUGUUGGUGUAUUUCCACUCCUUCCACAGAUCCCUGCAAAGUAAACAAAAUGGACAAGGUAUAUAUGGUAUUAGUUUAGUGAAGGAAACACUAGCACCGGCCACUUUAGUUGAACCCCUAAAAAUGGGAAUGGGAUCACUUCAAGUCUUCAACCAACUAGUUAUAUAUCUGAUAAAUCCUCUGAUAAACUUUUUCUGGAAAAGAAAAUGAAAUCGCACUUAUAUGUAUAUCAACUGAAUAAUAUUGUUGUUUGUUCGUAGGAACCCAUUAAUAAUGGAGAGAAAAACAAAUACCAUGAAUGGGGGUGGAGCCGCAGAACUCUCUAUUAAGGGUAACGCCCAUCCGACGAGGGUGGCGAUGAGUAGAAAUCCGGUUUGAGGGAGGAGAUGACAGACCGAUUGAGUUGUGUUGAGCUUGGUUGGAUGCAUAUGCAUGAAGAAUGGUAUUAGUUGAUAUGAAGGAAGAGAAGAAGAUCAGGCCUAGAAAGAAGAUGCGAUGAUUCAUCACCAUGUCUCCGUUCAGUUUAGAAUGAUUUCUCACCUAGUACUGCAGGCUAUUUAUACAGUUAUACGUUGGGGGAUGAGGACUAAUUUGAUGCAUUUAAGGAAAGUUAAUAACGCUGAUUGAGACCCCCAACCAGAAAGUCCAUAACCCAAUCUGACGGGCAUUACAUUUUCCAUAUCAGUUGAGAGAGAUCAUGACUUUAGAACCAAUUGAACGAAAAUGCAUAUUAUGAGUCGCUAUUGGGUAAUUAGCAAGUGUGUAUGUUCUAGGUGAUUCCUAUAAAAUCAGUGCGAUUUGAGUGGCGUAUUGAGGAAGAAUAAAAAGUUACAUCUAUUCCUGAGAAUAAAUCACUCAUCUUACUAGUUUGAAUUACCUUGAUGAGAUGAGUUGGGGAUGUACUCUGUCUCCUUACAAGGAUCCCAGAGGACGUCAAAGCAUGACCCCCUCGAUGCAUGCAUAUGCUUAUCAGAAUGGGGAGUGCAUGAAUUUCCUAAUGAAAUUAGAAGCUGAGGGACUGAAUUGAUAAAAACCCUUUUCAGAUAUAGGAUAUGAGUUUUAUGUAAUUAAGAGAAGAAGAAGAGUAAUUAAGAGAAAAAAAACAAUCAAGUACCGAUAUCUAAAAACAGUAUCGUGAGAACAAAGAGUACUAUGCCUUGCAUAAUAAGCAACACAAAAAUACACUGAAAUUAAGAAUAUAGAAUCAUCUUGUAGCCUCAUAAGAAUUCCUUCCAACCAGCUUGUCUUGCAAACUGUCCAAUCGAUCUCAUUCAAAAUUUGAGCCUAUCUUGUACAGUAUUCAGGAAUUUGAAAUAUGCAUCUCUCCAGGUCUUGAUAAGCACUAAUGACCCACAAACUCCCACUAACCCUAUAGUGAAGCCAAGCACAAAUAUGCAAGCCUAGAAUUUGAUUCCCGUCAUUAGUAUCAUCAUCUGAAUCAGUACCAUUGAAUGGUUGACACAGAUUUAGAAGCGGGGAACCACAAAGCUUCGGAUUCCCCUCAAAUGCUGAGACAUUCAAUCCUCGGAGCUGAGUGCUUUUUGGUAUUUCUCCUUCCAAAUUAUUGUAUGAGACAUUUAAAGAUGACAAGAAACUAAGAAGCGCCAAUGAAGCUGGGAUUUCUCCUGACAAAUGAUUCAUUGAAAGAUCCAGAGUCUCCAAGUUGUUGAGAUUCGAUAUUUGGUCUGGAAUGUUGCCGGACACCUGGUUGGCGCUGAGAUCCAAUAUAUGGAGAAGUUGCAACUUCCCGAUUUCAGUAGGUAUAUUGCCACUGAUGCUAUUGUUGCCUAACAAUAUAGAUGGUGGAUAGAAAGACAAAGAAUUGAACUGUAAAAUGCUUGCAGCAGGCAUGGCUUGGGAGGCGUAGAAAGGCAAUUCAAGAUAACCAUGAUCUAGUUGAGCUGCAGCUUGUUCAGAUACCAACAUUGGUAGUGUGCAAAGUUCUUUUGGAAUUUGACCUGAGAUUAGGUUGGACCCCAAGUUUAUAGAAGAAAGUGUUGGAGAAGUCCCCAACCAAGUAGGAACUGAGCCUGUGAUUCUAUUAAGUGACAUAUCCAAGAUCUCUAGCUUCUUGAGCUUAGACAACCAUAUAGGUAUCUGACCGGUGAGCUCACAACCACGCAAAGCCAAAAUCCUAAGAUUUUGGAAUCCAUCAAAAUCAGCCAUGUGAUCACCAUCUGGAAUUUCUUCACCUAUAAAAGUGGUUGAAAGAAUGAGUACAGUGACAUUUCUGCAGCCCUUCAAUAUAUCCAUAGCGCCUGUGAGAUUGGUCAGUCUGUUCCCAGAAAGUGAGAGGAAGGAUAAGUGCUUUAAUGAGACAAUCUCCGGUUGUAUUUGUCGUUCUAGGUUGUUUAAGCUUAAUCGAAUUGCUCUAAGGGACUUGCAUGAGUAAAGGCUUACUGGCAAGAUACCAGGAAAUUGUUUACUGAUGAAGUCAAGUUUACGAAGUUGACCAAAUCUAGAGAAAUUAUAAGCUGAGAUAUCUCCGUCCAAAAGGUUGAAUCCUAGAUUCAGUUCCAUAAGGUUUGUGCAAUUCAGCAAAGAUGGUGGCAAAGAACCUUCUAGAUUGUUGGAAUGAAGGAGCAGGACUAUCAAUUUGGAAAGCUUCCCAAUAUCUAUUGGAAGCAUGCCACUGAAAUGAUUUAAGUAGAGGUCAAGGAUUGUGAGGUUAGUGAGGUUAACAAUUCUGUUACUAAUGCCCCCAUGAAAAGAAUUUGCGGGGAUUGCAAUUUCUUUUAGUGAGGUAGCAUCAUAGAUAUAUUCUGGAAGUGAUCCUGAGAGGUUAUUGUAACCAGCACGAAAAACUUCCAGUUUGGAACAGUUUCCUAGUGUGCGAGAGAGAUUGCCUCCAAAAUUAUUGUAGGAAAAAUCUAAUAGCCUAAUCAAAGAAGAGUGGACACUGAUGGUUUUUAGAAGUGGUUAUGAUACCACUCUUAGAAAUUGUUAUGUGCGGAAGCUAUUAGUGGUGAUGGGCUAGAACAAAGUGUUUAGGACUUUGGUAUAUAGGAGCUAAACUUGGGAGAAUGUUGUUAUUAGGACAAGGUUAUUAUGACAACUAGUUUAGGAGGAUAGAAGGGUUUAGAGGAGAAUUAGAAACAGAGGAGGGCUACUUCAGUUGAAUGCUUUCUUCAUUCAUUCAUAAGUUUGUUACUUGUUGGAUUACAUUGCAUACAUAUUUAUAGAGGUCAUUAACCGACCUUGCAUAGUAGCCACCGACCUAAUGGUCUUCUCUAGAACAUCCUAGACCACUUAGCUAGCUUUAGAUUAUUACACUUCUUUCAUGAUCAUUUUAUAUUAAUCUAGAUUAUUCUAGCUAGCUCUAUCACUUCCUUAGACUUUUCUAGACAACUUGAUCAAUGUAGAACAUUCUAGAUAUGUUUCAAUGCACAUUACUUUCUAACAGACACAAAUAGGGGACGGGAUAUAACCUAGGAAUUGGUUGUUCGUGACAUUGAAAUGAGACAGGUUCUUUGCUUGUUGGGAGAAGGAUGAUGGAAUUGCACCAUGGAAUUGAUUGCUAGACAAAUCCACCAUCCGAAUAUUAUUGGAUGAUGAUAGAGAACCUGGUAGCUCUCCAGAAAGAAAGUUAAAACUCAAAUCAAGUAUCUCAAGAAGACCCAGGGACAAGAAGAAUCCAGCUUGAUCUAAAGAACCAUGAAGUGAAUUGCGAGAGAGAUUGAGGUAGGUUAGAUGUGUGAGAUUACUGAGUGAUGAUGAGGAAAAAAGACCUCCUUUGAGUUUGAGGCCUUUGGAGGAUAGGUGCAAAUGGGUUACUCGACCAACCGCAUCGCAAGUAAUGCCUUCCCAUUUGCAACAAUCCAAGCUGGUCCAAUUUAAGGAAGGAUAAGACAGAGUGAGGGCAAAAGACAAGAGAGAGGUACUUUCACUUGAGGAGCAUGAAUGAAUAUGUGUAGAUGAAAUGGAGCCAAGUAGAAUAAGAAGCAAGUAUUGAGCUAUUGGGUGAUAAGGUUGCACUGCUAGCAUCUUUCUUGGUUUCUC
rnacentral:lncRNA from 1 species